rnacentral:rRNA from 1 species
AACGAACGCUGGCGGCAGGCCUAACACAUGCAAGUCGAGCGAGCAUUUCGGUGCUAGCGGCGGACGGGUGAGUAACGCGUGGGAACGUGCCCUUUUCUGCGGAAUAGUCCUGGGAAACUGGGGGUAAUACCGCAUACGCCCUUUUGGGGAAAGAUUUAUCGGAGAAGGAUCGGCCCGCGUUGGAUUAGGUAGUUGGUGGGGUAAUGGCCCACCAAGCCGACGAUCCAUAGCUGGUUUGAGAGGAUGAUCAGCCACACGGGGACUGAGACACGGCCCAGACCCCCCCGGGGGGCAGGAGGGGGGAAUAUUAGACAAAGGGGGCGCCCCCGAUCUCGCCGGCGGGCGGGAGUGAGAAGGGGGGUAGAGUUGUAAAACUUUUUCAGCAGGGAAGAUAAGGGGGGUUACAGAAGAAGAACCCCCGGCUAACUCC